GCCUUCUUAGCUCAGUGGUAGAGCGCGUCACUAGUAUGUACGCGCUGACGUAAGCGUUCACAUGACGAGGUCAUUCGUUCGAAUCGGGUAGGAGGCA